rnacentral:miRNA from 1 species
UUUAAAACACACUGCUGUGCCCACCCUCAGGGUUUCUGAUUCAGAAAGUCUGGGGUGGAGGCCAGGAAUCUGCAUUUCU